rnacentral:rRNA from 1 species
AGUACCGUGAGGGAAAGGUGAAAAGCACCCCGACGAGGGGAGUGAAAUAGACCUGAAACCGGACACUUACAAACAGACGGAGCCCAAGAUUUGUUCUGGGUGACGUCGUACCUUUUGUAUUAUGGGCCAGCGACUUAAUUUAACCGAGCAAGCUUAAGCCGAUAGGGCGUAGGCGUAGCGAAAAGCGAGUUCUGAAAUAGGGCGCCCUAGUUGCUGGGUGUAGACCCGAAACCAGUUGAUCUAUCCAUGGGCCAGGUUGAAGGUGCGGUAACACGUACUGGAGGGACCGAACCCCACUAACCGUUGAAAAGUUAGGGGAUGAGCUGUGGAUAGGGGUGAAAAGGCUAAACAAAACUGGAAAUAGCUGGUUCUCUCCGAAAACUAUUUAGGUAGUGCCUCGUGUAUCACUGUAGGGGGUAGAGCACUGUCAUGGUAGUGGGGUCCAUUGCGGAUUACUGCGCCAUAGCAAACUCCGAAUACCUACAAGUGCAAGCACGGGAGACAGACAUCGGGUGCUAACGUCCGGUGUCAAGAGGGAAACAACCCAGACCGCCAGCUAAGGUCCCUAAUAUAUGCUANGUGGGAAACGAAGUGGGAAGGCUAAAACAGUCAGGAGGUUGGCUUAGAAGCAGCCAU